rnacentral:lncRNA from 1 species
GCAAGCUAUGCCCAGCAUGCUAGGGGGAGUAAUUAUAACUCAAGCCCAAAACAGAUUCACCUGUGGGAGAACGCUGCUGCCAGAUGUCUGUGCUUCAGCCAGGGUGCAAAUGAAUCCCAAACUCCUCCGGUCUGCAGUGUUCUCCUGUCCUUACUCAUGGUGAAUGUUGACUGCAACCUCAGUAUGAAGCCUUAGCAGGACAGUGAGUGCUUGGAGCAGAACCCUGAGCUGCAAAUGAAACUGAUGGAAGCCAG